GACGAACGCUGGCGGCGUGCUUAACACAUGCAAGUCGAACGAAGAGCGAUGGAAGCUUGCUUCUAUCAAUCUUAGUGGCGAACGGGUGAGUAACGCGUAAUCAACCUGCCCUUCAGAGGGGGACAACAGUUGGAAACGACUGCUAAUACCGCAUACGAUCUGACCUCGGCAUCGAGGAUAGAUGAAAGGUGGCCUCUACAUGUAAGCUAUCACUGAAGGAGGGGAUUGCGUCUGAUUAGCUAGUUGGAGGGGUAACGGCCCACCAAGGCGAUGAUCAGUAGCCGGUCUGAGAGGAUGAACGGCCACAUUGGGACUGAGACACGGCCCAGACUCCUACGGGAGGCAGCAGUGGGGAAUCUUCCGCAAUGGACGAAAGUCUGACGGAGCAACGCCGCGUGAGUGAUGACGGCCUUCGGGUUGUAAAGCUCUGUUAAUCGGGACGAAAGGCCUUCUUGCGAAUAGUUAGAAGGAUUGACGGUACCGGAAUAGAAAGCCACGGCUA
rnacentral:rRNA from 1 species